GACAGAGGGUGCAAGCGUUGUUCGGAAUUACUGGGCGUAAAGCGCGCGCAGGCGGUUCUCCAAGUCAGUGGUGAAAGCCCGGAGCUCAACUCCGGAAUUGCCAUUGAAACUGUUGAACUCGAGGACGAGAGAGGUGAGUGGAAUUCCCAGUGUAGAGGUGAAAUUCGUAGAUAUUGGGAAGAACACCGGUGGCGAAAGCGGCUCACUGGCUCGUUUCUGACGCUCAGGCGCGACAGCGUGGGGAUCAAACAGG
rnacentral:rRNA from 1 species